CGGCAAUCAGUCAGAGGAACAGCUUUCAUGGGGCUCCCAGGGCACUGCCUGCUGGUGGGGAAGGGGAAGACCCUGCCCCUGAAAUCACCUGGCCUCUCGCUUAGGAGCCCUGGAUUUCCCACCACUCAUAAGUUCAUGAAAUGAACCAAAGGUGUUAAAACUGGACAACAAGCUGGCCCACAGCAGCUAAUCCAGGAAAGGGAAACUAAUGGGCUCAACUUCAGGGACAAGUAGUCCUGCAAAGAACGGAGGUUUCGGUGAGACCCGGGGCAGCUUGGCUCCUAGCUCCUGCCUGGCCUCCUACACACGCAUGAACCAAGAGGGCAUUCUCAGCUCUUACUUCCUUUGUGAAGGAUGAGUUUGGGAGAAACCAGGCCAGGAGAGCUUCUCAUCUGGGGUGGGUGAGGCCCCACGGGCUGCCCUGGAUGGCAAAGCCACCUGCCCCAGCCCCGUCUGGGGAUGGGCUACGCCCUGCAGCUCAGGGUCCGGGCAGAGCCCAGGGGUAAGCCUAGGAUGAUAGGGGGAGAACCUCACAGAACGGCAGCGAUGCCUUAUUUCAGUAUUGUGGAAAACUGGGCUAUUUACUCAUUUUUCUCUCUUCUACGUUCUCAUUUGAAUUCUUCAUAAUUUGUUUUCUUGAAAGAAAGAAAGAAAGAAAGAAAGAAAGAAAGAAAGAAAGAAGAAAGAAAGAAAAAGAAAGAAAGAAAGAAAGAAAGAAAGAAAGAAAGAAAGAAAGAAAGAAAGAAGAAAGAAAGAGAAAGAAAGAAAGAAAGAAAGAAAGAAAGAAAGAAAGAAAGACAAGAAAAAGGAGUCCUCACAGGAAGGAAGGGAGGGGAGGAGAGAGAAGAGGGGGGCUGUGCACGGCUCCGCAUGGACGCACAUCUCAGUGGAUGUCAGGCUGCUGGACACAGCGGAGGGAGCUUUGCUGCCGACAACAGAGACCUAACACUGUUUUUCUCCGUCGCCUUGAUGAUGAACUCAUGGUCUCUGCCCCUGAGAACAGUCUGAAACAAAGAUGAGGGGAAGGACAGAAAGGAUGGUCUGCAGAGGCCUCGUCCAGCCGCUUCUCCCAGAGCGUCUGCAGAGCUGUGGGCCAGCCAAUCCCAAUGCUUCGUAUCAACCAUCUCGGAUUCGCACGGGCUUUCAGGGCACCAGAAGCUUCUAGACGUCUUCCUCUUUGAUGCUAUCCCUUCCCCACUUCCCUGGAGGGCAGCGGAAGUGCUGAGGUGGGGCUUUCUGUCUCCAAAGCUGCUGGGGAGAGCUGCUUACAAGGUUUUGGCAAAGAAACAACACAGUUCGUGGCAAUAAAUUGUGUUUUCAGAGCCUCCGCA
rnacentral:lncRNA from 1 species